rnacentral:rRNA from 1 species
GAUGAACGCUGGCGGCGUGCCUAAUACAUGCAAGUCGAGCGAACAGACGAGGAGCUUGCUCCUCUGACGUUAGCGGCGGACGGGUGAGUAACACGUGGAUAACCUACCUAUAAGACUGGGAUAACUUCGGGAAACCGGAGCUAAUACCGGAUAAUAUAUUGAACCGCAUGGUUCAAUAGUGAAAGACGGUUUUGCUGUCACUUAUAGAUGGAUCCGCGCCGCAUUAGCUAGUUGGUAAGGUAACGGCUUACCAAGGCGACGAUGCGUAGCCGACCUGAGAGGGUGAUCGGCCACACUGGAACUGAGACACGGUCCAGACUCCUACGGGAGGCAGCAGUAGGGAAUCUUCCGCGAUGGGCGAGAGCCUGACGGAGCAACGCCGCGUGAGUGAUGAAGGUCUUCGGAUCGUAAAACUCUGUUAUUAGGGAAGAACAAAUGUGUAAGUAACUAUGCACGUCUUGACGGUACCUAAUCAGAAAGCCACGGCUAACUACGUG